CCCAGAUAGCUCAGUCGGUAGAGCAGAGGAUUGAAAAUCCUCGUGUCGGUGGUUCGAUUCCGCCUCUGGG
rnacentral:tRNA from 2 species